AGUGAACGCUGGCGGUAGGCCUAACACAUGCAAGUCGAACGGCAGCACAGUAAGAGCUUGCUCUUACGGGUGGCGAGUGGCGGACUGGCGAGGAAUACAUCGGAAUCUACUUUUUCGUGGGGGAUAACGUAGGGAAACUUACGCUAAUACCGCAUACGACCUACGGGUGAAAGCAGGGGAUCUUCGGACCUUGCGCGAUUGAAGGAGCCGAUGUCGGAUUAGCUAGUUGGCGGGGUAAAGGCCCACCAAGGCGACGAUCCGUAGCUGGUCUGAGAGGAUGAUCAGCCACACUGGAACUGAGACACGGUCCAGACUCCUACGGGAGGCAGCAGUGGGGAAUAUUGGACAAUGGGCGCAAGCCUGAUCCAGCCAUACCGCGUGGGUGAAGAAGGCCUUCGGGUUGUAAAGCCCUUUUGUUGGGAAAGAAAAGCAGCAGGUUAAUACCCCGCUGUUCUGACGGUACCCAAAGAAUAAGCACCGGCUAACUUCGUG
rnacentral:rRNA from 1 species